rnacentral:rRNA from 1 species
AUUGAACGCUGGCGGCAGGCCUAACACAUGCAAGUCGAACGAGUGGCGGACGGGUGAGUAAUGUCUGGGAAACUGCCUGAUGGAGGGGGAUAACUACUGGAAACGGUAGCUAAUACCGCAUACCAUCAGAUGUGCCCAGAUGGGAUUAGCUAGUUGGUGGGGUAACGGCUCACCAGGGCGACGAUCCCUAGCUGGUCUGAGAGGAUGACCAGCCAACCGGGAACUGAGACACGGUCCAGACUCCGACGGGAGGCAGAAGUGGGGAAUAUUGCAAAAUGUGCGCAAGCCGGAUGCAGCCAUGCCGCGUGGAGGAAGAGGGCCUUCGGGUUGUAAAGGACUUUCAGCGGGGAGGCGUUACCCGCAGAAGAAGCACCGGCUAACUCCGUGCCAGCAGCCGCGGUAAUUC